UGGCUACCCAAUGAAUGAAACAAAUGAAUGUUACCCGGAAUGGACAGUCCCAACAGGCAGAGCAUCCAAAAGAAAUGCUAUGAAGGAUGGUGAGAAUAAGUAAGCUCGUGGUCAGUGUCCACGGUAAACACCAAAAGCAAUAUCCUGUCAUUCGUCAUAGGAAGGAUUGAUUGGUACAAUUGGUAAAAGAUGAAGAACAGAGAAACAGCUGGAAUUCUGUGUGCAAGAAACAAAGAAAUGGACAGGAAUUGAGGGCUGAAGAAAAGCGAAGAAGAAAAAUGAGGGGAAGUCAGAGGAAACCUUGACAUCUCAGAGGCAAGUACCAAGAAGAAACUCCCAGCAAAAGGCUGGGUGACAGAUAUUGAAGAAUAAGAAUAUCCAGUCAUCAGAAUAAAGGUUAUUUUCAUGCACAGCAUCAGCAUCAGAUACACAAAUUACCAAUUGCCUAUGAGGUUUUUUAAGUGUUAGAUUUUGGAAGGAGAGGUUAAAUACCAGUGUCUCUCUAAAAUAUAUGUCUUAGAUAUUGAGUUCUUCUUGCUUAGUUUCCAGGGGGCAUUUUGCUGUGUUGAACUCUAAGGAACAAUGCAAAUUUUUUGCUUAAAUUCAAAUUUAUUUUUAUCAAAUAAGCUUUUAAGGGCUCAUAAGCCAGAGCUUGGAAAUAUGCUGUGCAAAUACUGUCAUAAUUGUUCAACCUGUGUAUGUGUUUGUACUGGACAAGUCUUUGCCUUACCUUUUAGAUUGUAAACUCUUUAAAAAUAUCUUUAGGAAUAUAAAUAUCUUCUGUUGUCCCUGCAUUUGUCACAACAACAUUACUAUUUGAUUAUGAUCAUGAUGCUUGAAUUCUAGAAGUCUAUAUUUGAUAUUUAUAUAAAGAAGUAAAUUAUUUUAUACACAUAUUAAUACAAAUUCAGUAGGUUCCCUGUUAUUUAUUUCCUCCAUUGUAUCUUUGCUACAUCUGACCCUGUUGAUCAAUCACUUACUGGAUGAGGCUACUUCUUGGCCUCCCAUUACAUUAAUUUCUUGGCUCUCCUCCUAGCUCCCCACUUUCCUCUUUCUCCCCAACUGUCUUUGGCUUUCUAUCACCUCUUAAUUUUGAAUAUCACACAUCAAUCUUUCCGAAGCCUUCCAUUUCAUGGCUUCCAUUAUCACCUUUAACCCAUGCUCCUAUAGUAUAUCCCCAAAUCUUACUUAGCUCUGAUCCUGUAAUUCCAACGUCCUCCAGGAUGUUGCCUCUCAACUAUUCUGCCGUCAUUGCAAAUUCAGUUUGGUCCAGAGCAUUCUCUUUCCAUCACUUAUCAAAGACACUACCGUCAUCUUUCUCUCCUGCAAAGGAAACUUUGGUGAUGUCUUUGAAUUUUUCUUUUUUAUUCCUCUACCCACAUUUAACGGCUUUAGCAAAUUAUACUUUUCUUCGCAAAACAAUGUAUCAGCUACCUGUGUGAUCCCAAGCCCUUAGCUUGAUAAGGUUGCGUGGCCCUUUAAGCUUGGCUCACAUUCCCUUUUCUCCAUUUAAAAGAAACCUCAGAGUCUGUCCCAAAGUUUCCAGAGCUUUCUGGCAAUCUCACAGUGAAGCUAGUCAUUCUGGUCCCUAUUUGCUGCUUCUGAUGAAUUUUCAGUCUCCCUCAUAGCCCAGCUUUGUGACUUUUCCACUGCAUACCCCAAGGGGGCCCCAGAAUGGGAUGUGACCCCUUUGUUUUAUGUUAUCCCAAACACCUCUCACUCACCCAGCCACGCCCUAUAGAGUAAACAUUACUGAAGCUUUCAGUAGUAAUGACAAGGGGCCCCUGUGAUUGCCCUCAGGGCAGAUAAUAAAACUAAAUAUUCAACUUCUCUGUAAGGGUCAAAUAUUCCUCUGGACCACCAGGGAGUAUUCACCAACCAUGCCUUCUACUGGGGCUCCAGCUCUCAUCAUGUUUCCACGUUGGAUCUCCUCUCUCUCAAUCUCCUGUCUUCUCUGUUGGCUCAGUCUCAACCCUUAAAUUCUGUUUACUCCUUAUACAGGUAAAGGGGGGGGGGGGGCAACUGUUGACAACUCUGGCAAUAGUUUAUCACUUUGUCUCAUAAGACUAUGAGGUUUUUAAAAGUGGGUUUCACAUCUGAGUCGUUUCUGUAAUCCCUAUAGCGUCCAACCUGAUGACCGCCCCGCAGUAGGUUCUUGAUAAAU